AGAGUUUGAUCCUGGCUCAGGAUGAACGCUGGCGGCGUGCCUAAUACAUGCAAGUCGAGCGAAAGAAGUAGCAAUACAUCUUUAGCGGCGAACGGGUGAGUAACGCGUUGGUGACCUGCCUCGAAGCGUGGGAUAACAGUUCGAAAGGAUUGCUAAUACCACAUGUGGUUGUGGAGAUUAGAGGCUCUGCAACUAAAGGAGAAAUUCACUUCGAGAGGGGCCUGCGUCCCAUCAGCUAGUUGGUAAGGUAACGGCUUACCAAGGCGAUGACGGGUAGGGGACCUGAGAGGGUGGCCCCCCACAAUGGAACUGAAACACGGUCCAUACACCUACGGGUGGCAGCAGUAGGGAAUAUUGCAUAAUGGGCGAAAGCCUGAUGCAGCAACGCCGCGUGUGCGAUGAAGGCCUUCGGGUCGUAAAGCACUUUUAGAGAGGAUGAGGAAGGACAGUACUCUCUGAAUAAGCCUCGGCUAACUACGUGCCAGCAGCCGCGGUAAAACGUAGGAGGCGAGCGUUAUCCGGAUUUACUGGGCGUAAAGCGCGUGCAGGCGGUAAGGAAAGUUGGAUGUGAAAGCUCCUGGCUUAACUGGGAGAGGUCGUUCAAAACUACCUAACUAGAGUAUGGGAGAGGGAGGCGGAAUUCCGGGUGUAGUGGUGAAAUGCGUAGAUAUCCGGAGGAACACCAGUGGCGAAAGCGGCCUCCUGGUCCAAGACUGACGCUCAGACGCGAAAGCUAGGGUAGCAAACGGGAUUAGAGACCCCGGUAGUCCUAGCUGUAAACGAUGUGGACUUGCGUCGCGGGUUUAAAUCCGUCGUGUCGAAGCAACGCGAUA
rnacentral:rRNA from 1 species